CUCCCGGGGCCUCUCCCGGGGCCCCGAGUCCCCCCCCGCCGGUCCGGAGCCGCCCUCAGGCGUGAGGGGUCACCACGGGCAUGGCCCCGAGAUGUGGUGGCCCCAGGCACCCACAUGGUGGGGGUCUGUACCGUGGAAAGCCAGGGAUCACAACAGCUGGCUAAGUUUGGCUCUGGAAGGGGAUCACAACAGCUGGCUAAGAAUUCCCACUGCAGCACGUACACAAAGAGCAAGAGGCAACGCCUUGAAAAAUUUACAGUAGGAAAGACAGACCCUAAGGAAUGGGAC